rnacentral:rRNA from 1 species
UGGGGAAUAUUGGACAAUGGGGGCAACCCUGAUCCAGCCAUGCCGCGUGUGUGAAGAAGGCCUUUUGGUUGUAAAGCACUUUAAGCAGUGAAGAAGACUCCAUGGUUAAUACCCAUGGACGAUGACAUUAGCUGCAGAAUAAGCACCGGCUAACUCUGUGCCAGCAGCCGCGGUAAUACAGAGGGUGCAAGCGUUAAUCGGAAUUACUGGGCGUAAAGCGAGCGUAGGUGGCAUGAUAAGUCAGAUGUGAAAGCCCCGGGCUUAACCUGGGAACGGCAUCUGAUACUGUUAGGCUAGAGUAGGUGAGAGGAAGGUAGAAUUCCAGGUGUAGCGGUGAAAUGCGUAGAGAUCUGGAGGAAUACCGAUGGCGAAGGCAGCCUUCUGGCAUCAUACUGACACUGAGGUUCGAAAGCGUGGGUAGCAAACA